AUUGAACGCUGGCGGCAUGCUUUACUCAUGCAAGUCGAACGGUAACAGGCCGCAAGGUGCUGACGAGUGGCGAACGGGUGAGUAAUGCAUCGGAACGUGCCCAGUCGUGGGGGAUAACUACUCGAAAGAGUAGCUAAUACCGCAUACGAUCUAUGGAUGAAAGCGGGGGACCGUAAGGCCUCGCGCGAUUGGAGCGGCCGAUGUCAGAUUAGGUAGUUGGUGGGGUAAAGGCUCACCAAGCCAACGAUCUGUAGCUGGUCUGAGAGGACGACCAGCCACACUGGGACUGAGACACGGCCCAGACUCCUACGGGAGGCAGCAGUGGGGAAUUUUGGACAAUGGGCGCAAGCCUGAUCCAGCAAUGCCGCGUGCAGGAAGAAGGCCUUCGGGUUGUAAACUGCUUUUGUACGGAACGAAACGGCUCUGGUUAAUACCCGGGGCUAAUGACGGUACCGUAAGAAUAAGCACCGGCUAACUACGUG
rnacentral:rRNA from 1 species